UUUUUGGAAAUGAAGAAAAUGGAAAGACCGUUGUUUACCUUGUGGCUUUCCAUCUGUUCUUUGUUAUGUUUGUAUGGUCCUAUUGGAUGACAAUUUUCACAUCUCCCGCUUCCCCCUCCAAAGAGUUCUACUUGUCCAAUUCUGAAAAGGAACGUUAUGAAAAAGAAUUCAGCCAAGAAAGACAACAAGAAAUUUUGAGAAGAGCGGCAAGAGUUUUACCUAUCUAUACCACAUCAGCUUCAAAAACUAUCAGAUAUUGUGAAAAAUGUCAGCUGAUUAAACCUGAUCGGGCACAUCACUGCUCAGCAUGUGACUCAUGUAUUCUUAAGAUGGAUCAUCACUGUCCUUGGGUGAAUAACUGUGUGGGAUUUUCUAAUUACAAAUUCUUCCUGCUGUUUUUAUUGUAUUCCCUAUUAUAUUGCCUUUUCGUGGCUGCAACAGUUUUAGAGUACUUCAUAAAAUUUUGGACGAAUGAACUGACAGAUACACGUGCAAAAUUCCACGUACUUUUUCUUUUCUUUGUGUCUGCAAUGUUCUUCAUCAGCGUCCUCUCACUUUUCAGCUACCACUGCUGGCUAGUUGGAAAAAAUAGGACAACAAUAGAAUCAUUCCGCGCACCCACGUUUUCAUACGGACCUGAUGGAAAUGGUUUCUCUCUUGGAUACAGUAAAAAUUGGAGGCAAGUCUUUGGUGAUGAAAAGAAGUAUUGGCUACUUCCAAUAUUUUCAAGCUUGGGUGAUGGUUGCAGUUUUCCAACUCGCCUUGUGGGGAUGGAUCCAGAACAAGCUUCUGUUACAAACCAGAAUGAGUACGCCAGAAGAUCUAAACUGCAGAGGUAGAAAGCAGAAAACUUGGGAAAUGACAGUAGUGGCUCAAAUCAGCCUUUUCCUAUCAAACCACUUAGUGAAUCAAAAAACCGUUUGUUGGACAGUGAAUCUCAGUGGCUGGAGAAUGGAGCUGAAGAAGGCAUCGUCAAAUCAGGUGUAUGAAAACAUUAUAGACUGAUAUUUUCAAUUUUCAUUUGGAAGAAAAUGAUCAAUGGAAUGAAAUAACUGAAGUAUAACAGAAGAUAUAUUUUUUAAAAAGGAAAGCCUUUGUACAGUUCUGGGAUCCACAGAAGCGCUGCUCCAGAGCGGAACGAUGCCUUAAUCUUAAGUGUCCAUUUGUGCAGCAUUGACUUAGAGCUACAGAAAUGACUUAAUGUUAUUCUGGAAAUAAUACUUACCUGUUAUGAGAUGCUAUAAUACGAGCUGUCAUCACAUUUUAACAUGCAUAUGUAUUUUUUGAUACCUGAAUUACAUUAUUAGAAUCAGUAUCCAUAUACAUUUUCACUCUAAAAACACAAGCUUAAAAACUUGAAAGUAAAGUACAUCUAGGACAAAUGGUGGCUGAAAGUGAAUAAUAUUCAAAUUACUGUUGCUUGUACUGUAUAAGGAAAAUGCUUUUUUAAAUUGGGUAUUUGCUAAUUUAUAAUUACUAUUUUAUACUUUUCAAUAUUUUUAAUAACUUUUAUUGUUGGCCAUAACAGAAGGAUUCAGAUAUCUAAGUAUCAUUUAGAACAUAGAACACAUUGGUCUAAUUCAUCGAAAGCUUAGUUAUAAGCAUUAAUACAACCAUGUAGUGGAACAAGUGCCCAAGGCUUAAAGGGAACUCGGCAGGAUAAGAACUAUUUUGGGUUCUCUCUGCUAUUUUAUAACUUUUGUUGUUGAACUUUCAGGGGUGUGUACAUGGGCAGAGAAACACAAAGGUACAUGUGCUGGAGAAAUACUGGACACAGUAGGAAGAAGUGUAAGUGUCCAGAAGAAAAGCUAAGAGGAAUAUUGUAAUCUGUUAAAAAAAGAAUAGUUUGAGUUUUAACAGUAGUUAGACUAAAGCAUGCUGUUGACUUGACUUUCAAAUUUCAGGGUAGGUAAUGACUAAAAAUUACUUUGAAACUUUUUUACAGUAAUACUGUAACAACUUAAACAGUGACUUAAAAUGCAAUUCAAACUAGGCAAAAAAACUUUAAGUUUUCCUCCUGGCUCUCAGUUGGAAAGUCUAACCUGAGUGGUCAUUUUACAUUCUCAGUCUCUGAGAAGUGGAUUCUACUCUUAGAUGCACAGUCUCAAGUCUGACUUUCUAACAGCAACCCCUUUAUGCCUAGAAACAUUUCUUUUUCCUUUUAAAUCUAAUCUAAGCGACAGGAGUUGUUGCAUUAACUCCAAAGAAAAGUACAGAAUAAACAAUGUCGAAAUGUUACUCCUCCUUUACACCUUUUAGUCAGACACACACACACACCCCCACACACCCACCCCAAAAUAAUCGAUUGCUUCCCGUUGGUGGGUGAGUACUACAGGUUGGAGUUUCCUGUCUGUAAAAUGGGACUGCAGGGGAGGGGUGUUGUGAAUGAGUUGGACUGGAUGACUUCUAACAUUCUGUGAUGCCUAAUUUUGCAAAAUCACUUUUCAUUCACCCAGUAAAUUUUUUUCUUCUUUUUUCCAGGUAGUCUUGCUCUGUCUCUCAGACAGGAGUGCAGUGGUGGGAUCUUGGCUCGCUGCAACCUCCACCUCCCGGGUUCAAGAGUCUCCUGCCUCAGCCUCUCAAGUAGCUGGGAUUACAGGCUCAUGCCACCAGGCCUGGCUAAUUUUUACAUUUUUAGAAGAGACAAGGUUUUACCAUGUUGACCAGGCUGGUCACGAACUCCUGACCUCAAAUAAUCCACCCACCUCUGCUUCCCAAAGUGCUGGGAUUACAGGCAUGAGCCACCACGCCCAGCCCUAGUAAAUUUUUUGGAGUACCUUCUAUAUGCUAAACAAUACACUAGGAAUAGCUCUGUCAUUUCCUAGUACAGCAUAAAUUUUAUGGUUGCUACUGUAGGUUUAUAAUUUGUUGUUUAUAAUUUGGUCUAAUUUCCAUCAGCCAUACUAAUAUUAGAUUUUAAAAGGAGGCAACUAUUUUUCUCUUUGAACCAAAGGAAUGAGUUAGCUUUGAAAACAUAGUUUGGAAUACUAUAGUAUGGAUUCUUCUACCUUUGUUUCAACUCCUUAGUCUUAAUAAUCUCGAUUCUAGCAAACUAGAAUGAGAGUUAAGAGAUAAUCAAUUAUUGCUGGGCAUGGUGGCUCAUGCCUGUAAUCCCAGCACUUUGGGAGGCCGAGGCUGGUGGAUCACCUGAGGUCAGGGGUUUGAGAUUAGCCUGGUCAAAAUGGCAAAACCUUCUCUCUACUAAAAAUAAAAAAAAAAAACCCAAAAACUGUCCAGGCAUGGUGGCACACUCCUGUAUUCCCAGCUACUCGGGAGGUGGAGGCAAGAGAAUCACUUAAACCCAGGAGGCGGAGGUUGCAGUGAGCCAAGAGUCUGGUGCACUCCAGUCUGGGUGACAAGAGUGAAACUCCAUCUCAAAAAAAUAUAUAUAUCAACUACCAACUAAAAACAUCACUUCAGUUUGGCAGUUUGCAUAUUAUAAGGAGAUAAAUGUUUAAACAUACGUGACUACUUUCAGAAAUGUUCUCCUGGUACUUUCUGUGAGUAUUUCUACAUUCAGAUCGAAAGAUUUGCAUGUACCUGGCUAACGCCAAGGAAACUUUAUUUUCUUCUUCACUAUUAUGCACUUUCAUGGUAGUAUAGUCUUUCUCAGUUCUUUUAAUUUUUGUUAUUUAACAUCUUUAAUAUAAUAGCACAGCAAACAUCUUUUCAGAAAUUUCCAGUUAAAGCCUUUGAAUUAUUUAUCUUUGGUUUAAUUUACAGCCAGCAUUUUGCCACAUUCUAAAUAAUAUUUAGCUGAACUGAUUCAUACGUAUUAAUGACCAUUCUAGCAAAGGCCUACAAGUGGUGUGGGAAUCAGGGAAAGGCUGCCUCUUUGGUAUUUCAACUGGUAUUGAUUAUUGCUAUCAACUAAUUGGGGAGAAAAAAUCAAAAUGAAGCCCUGUCAAAUUUUAUAAGUACUAUCUUUGGUCCUUCAAACACUUGAACAUUUGUGAUGACACCUUAAGAAAAAUGAAGUUCAGGUCUUACCAUUGCCAUUAAAAACAAAUUAGGAGACGUGGUUUACCUGGGAACAAAUUUACUUGAAUAUUCAGUACCUGAAACCAUGCCAAACCAAAGAGCAGCUGCAGUACAUUAGUUAUUUUAAAUGAACAAGUUUACAAAGUUUAUUUUCAUCUAUACAUAAGGAUGAUUUUUUAAAAACUUUUUACAUAUUAGUGGUUAUGAUCCAAUGUGUCAUGAGUGAAUUUAACUGUAAGGUGGUUUAAAUCAAAUAUGCAAUGUUUACUUGAAUUGUAUUUCUAUUAGCAGAUUUUGACUAUGUUUACAGGACUGUUUAAAUUAAGGAUUAUCAGGCAUGUGAGAUCUCCUUUCAGUAUCUUUAAAACAGAUGUAUAUUAAGGGCUUAGAGUUAGGAUCUACAUAUUCUGGGCAGUGAAUAGGCAGUAACUUACAAAUAAGUUUUGCUUACCUUUUGUUCUAGGGACUAGCACUGCUAUCAAUGGAAAGUAUUUUUAACUAAUCUGUUAUUAAGAAAGUCAUAUUUUUGCAUUUCAGCCAAAAUAAAGACCAUCUCUGAUAAUCUGUUAGAUAAUACAUGUCUGAAAUCCAUAUGUUUCAUAUGAUCUAAACUGUAUUUUCCAAUUUAAAUUAAAAUGUAAUAUAGAUUCAGAAAGGUUCAUAUUUUUCUAAUGACUUCAUUCUAUAUUAUUUUGUUAGGUUGCAUAAAGAAGCAAGGAAUUGCACUUGUAUUAAAAGAUGAAGAAAGCUAUUAGGUAUAUUUGUACAUGACUGCAAAUGAGUCUAUGCCUGUUUAAAAGAAAAGAUGGACACUAUUUUAAAGUGAGCUUUAAUAUGCUUUUAUAUAAACAAAUUUGAAGUACAGUUUAGUUUGGUUGUGUUUACCUAACAAGUACUAUAAGCCGUGUAUUUGUUCUUAUUUGUAUAAUCCUAGCCUGUGACUUAAUGUUGACGCUUUGCUUUGUCUUUUGGCUGGCCUAACCUACAUUGACAUGUACGCAGAACAUUUUACAACUUUUUUUUUCCAAAAGUCAUAAUGAAUUACUUUAUUAAUAAACAAAUAAAGUCUUGUAUUUGAA